rnacentral:lncRNA from 1 species
CACAGUUCAAAUAAGCCAGGAUGUUCAGUGUGAUUUGGGCAACAUAAGUGCAGCUGUAUAAAGCCCAGUGUAGCCAUCCUGCUGGUCACCUGGACAAAACAGACAAAAGGAAAGAGACUGAGCAUUCCUAAAUUUUCUACCAUAUUUCAUUCAUAAAUGAAAUGAAUUAUGUAAAAUGAAUUAGACUUCCUAACUAACUUCACUUUGUAUAUCAUUUCUUAGGAAUGUCUAAUAGACAGAGACAAAAAACAAACAAACAAACAAAAAAAACGUCUUAUUAGAUUGUUAAACCCAAUUUUCAGGGUCUAUAAGCUGUCGUUAGUCUUUUUUUUUUUUUCCAAGAACGAUAUUAGGCGUUAUUUUCUAUCCUAAUUUGGUAUUGAUGUUAAAAGUGUGUCUGACUGGCAUCUGUUACCACAGGUGUCAAUGGGUGGAAAUGCUGAUUCUUUAGCUUACCUUUGACAUUCAUUAUUCCGGGACAAGUGGGAACCAAAUACUUCUGUAAUGCUCAGUGUCUACCCCGGACUGUUGCUCUCUAAAUGUAACCUCAAGAUAGAAUUAAGGCGGUAUAUUUUCUGAAUCGUUGGAGAAUCAUUCGGUCUUAACUUGAAAGCCCAAGAGUAAAGAAUGCCUGCUUACCUGCCAACAAGAGAAAGGAAAACAACUAACAGGAAGAAGAGUGUUUGCUACAGUUACUGCUUGUGAAAGACAACUAGAAAUAGAAUUUGCCAUGAAAUUUAAAACUUCACAAACCUCACGGUGCUUCUUUUGAAGAAAAAUGUAGAGUUGGUAGUCGGUAUGAAAUUCUGAUGUGAACUCUUCCUUAGAACUUUACAGGAUAAGAGGAAAUGUGUGAAAUGGAGAUUGAACAAUCUUGUCUUGAAGCAGAAGACUCAAAUGGAAGCUCCUGGCAUUCCUCAA